rnacentral:rRNA from 1 species
CGGUAAUUCCAGCUCCUAUAGUGUAUGUUAACGUUGCUGCGCUUAAAAAGUCCGUAGCUGGAUUUCUUGUGCCGGAGCCUCUGCCGCAGAGUGGUUGAAUUACUGCUCAGAUUGGCUUGAUCCGUCACAAUCUUGUGCGAUCCGUUGCACUGAUUACCGUGAAGAAAUCGUAGUGCUCAAAGCAGGCGUUUGCAGCUGUACGUUCAAGCAUGGAAUAAUAAAAUAUGACUCGUAUCGUAUUUUGUUGGUUCAACGGAAUGAGUAAUGAUUAAUAGGGGCAGUUGGGGACAUCUCUACUACUGCGGGACCGGUAAAAUGGGUUGAUCGCAGUAAGAGAAACUGAAGCGAAAGCGUUUGUCAAGGAUGCUUUCAUUAGUCAAGGACGAAAGCUAGAGGAUGGAAGGCGAUCAGACACCGCUGUACUUCUAGCCAUAAACUAUACCGCCUAGGGAUUGGAGGCUGGUAUUACACUCCUUCAGCACCUUUUGAGAAAUCAAAGGCUUCGGGUUGCGGGGGGAGUAUGGUCGCAAGGCUGAAACUUAAAGGAAUUGACGGAAGGGCACCACCAUUAGUGGAACCUGCGAUUCAAUUUGACUCAACACGUAAACCUUACCAGGGCCAGACACUGUUAGGAUUGACAAGCUGAAAGACUUUUCUUGAUUCGGUGGAUGGUGGUGCAUGGCCGUAUUUAGUUCGUGGAGUGAUUUGUCUGGUUGAUUCCGAUAACGAACGAGACCCCCGCCUGCUAACUAGAUGAUUUCAUCUUUGGAUGAGUCGUCUUCUUAGAGGGACAACUGGUGCAAGCCAGGGGAAGUGGGGGGCAACUACAGGUCAGUGAUGCCCUUAGAUGUCCUGGGCCACACGCGUGUUAUAAUGGCAUGGUCAUCAAGCAUAUGCUAGUCCGAUAGGACAGGCUAAUCUUGUGAAACCAUGUCGCAGUGGGGAUUGGGGCUUGCAAUUGUUCCCCAUGAACGAAGAAUUAAUAGUAGGCGCGAGGUAUCAACUUGCACCGACUACGUCCCUGCCCUUUGUACACACCGCCCGUCGCUCCUACCGAUUGGAUGUUCCGGCGAGUUGUUUGGAGUGAGAGCUACCUUCGGGUCGCUCUCGCGAAGAUCCGCGAGCCACAGCAUCUAGAGGAAGGAGAAGUCGUAACAAGGUAACC